UUUCCACCGGAGCUUGCUCCACCGGAAAAAGAGGAGUGGCGAACGGGUGAGUAACACGUGGGUAACCUGCCCAUCAGAAGGGGAUAACACUUGGAAACAGGUGCUAAUACCGUAUAACAAUCGAAACCGCAUGGUUUUGAUUUGAAAGGCGCUUUCGGGUGUCGCUGAUGGAUGGACCCGCGGUGCAUUAGCUAGUUGGUGAGGUAACGGCUCACCAAGGCCACGAUGCAUAGCCGACCUGAGAGGGUGAUCGGCCACAUUGGGACUGAGACACGGCCCAAACUCCUACGGGAGGCAGCAGUAGGGAAUCUUCGGCAAUGGACGAAAGUCUGACCGAGCAACGCCGCGUGAGUGAAGAAGGUUUUCGGAUCGUAAAACUCUGUUGUUAGAGAAGAACAAGGAUGAGAGUAACUGUUCAUCCCUUGACGGUAUCUAACCAGAAAGCCACGGCUAACUACGUGCCAGCAGCCGCGGUAAUACGUAGGUGGCAAGCGUUGUCCGGAUUUAUUGGGCGUAAAGCGAGCGCAGGCGGUUUCUUAAGUCUGAUGUGAAAGCCCCCGGCUCAACCGGGGAGGGUCAUUGGAAACUGGGAGACUUGAGUGCAGAAGAGGAGAGUGGAAUUCCAUGUGUAGCGGUGAAAUGCGUAGAUAUAUGGAGGAACACCAGUGGCGAAG
rnacentral:rRNA from 1 species